rnacentral:rRNA from 1 species
CAGCAGCCGCGGGAACACGUAGGUGGCAAGCGUUGUCCGGAAUUAUUGGGCGUAAAGGGCUCGCAGGCGGUUUCUUAAGUCUGAUGUGGAAGCCCCCGGCUCAACCGGGGGGGGUCAUUGGAAACUGGGAAACUUGAGUGCAGAAGAGGAGAGUGGAAUUCCACGUGUAGCGGUGAAAUGCGUAGAGAUGUGGAGGAACACCAGUGGCGAAGGCGACUCUCUGGUCUGUAACUGACGCUGAGGAGCGAAAGCGUGGGGAGCGAACAGGAUUAGAUACCCGAGUAGUCCCUGUCUCUUAUAC